UACGGGGGGGGUAAGCGUUGUUCGGAAUCACUGGGCUUAAAGGGCGCGUAGGCGGGUUCGCAAGUCUGUGGUGAAAGCCUCCAGCUUAACUGGAGAAGUGCCGUGGAUACUGCGAAUCUUGAGGAGGGUAGGGGCGUCUGGAACGGUCGGUGGAGCGGUGAAAUGCGUUGAUAUCGACCGGAACUCCGGUGGCGAAGGCGAGGCGCUGGACCCUUUCUGACGCUGAGGCGCGAAAGCCAGGGGAGCAAACGGG
rnacentral:rRNA from 1 species